rnacentral:lncRNA from 1 species
CACAAACAACACGCAAGGCCUUUCAGCACCACCUGUUCAGCUGGUCAAUGAAAAUAAAAAUGAAAAUACACUGCAAUCACGCACUGCUAGCCCAAUGACAACCUUCUACAGCGUUUCCUGUGCAGUGACCCGUGAUAAGAUGAUUGUGACCCCACUCUCUGCUCACCAGCUAUAAGAGAUCACCUACUGACUAGAAUGAGAUGUCAUUUCAGAACAGAAAAGGCAGAAGGCUACUAAAUAAAUGAACAAACCACUCCUCCCCACUCCAAGAAACCCAUCCUCUG